rnacentral:rRNA from 1 species
AUGCAUGUCUAAGAACAUAUCUCAAUCAGAUGAAUCUGCGAACGGCUCAUUACAACAGUUAUAAUCUACUCGAAAUAGAUUCCUAAACGGAUAUCUGCGAUAAUUUUGGAGCUAAUACGUGCACCAAGACUAGAUUCUCUGAAUCUAGUGCACUUAUUAGAUGAAGACCAAUCGGGGCAACCCGAAAUGGUGACUCUGAAUAAUUUUCGCUGAUCGCAUGGUCUCGUACCGGCGACGUAUCGUUCGAGUAUCUGCCUUAUCAACUUUCGAUGGAAGUCCAUGUGACUGCCAUGGUUGUGACGGGUAACGGAGAAUCAGGGUUCGACUCCGGAGAGGGAGCCUGAGAAACGGCUACCACA